rnacentral:misc_RNA from 1 species
ACAGGCUGCCAUAAAGGCACAGGCAGCCUUUCGAGGCUUUCUGGCACGCAGAGCAUUUCAUGCACUGAGAGGCAUCAUAAGGCUACAGGCUCUUGUUCGUGGGCAUUUGGUAAGAAGACAAGCGGUUGCAACUCUACGCUCUAUGCAGGGAAUUGUAAGGCUGCAAGCACUUGUUCGUGGUCAAAGAGUCAGGCGUUCUGGUGUUGGUCUUGAGGCCUUCACAAAGUUUGGUCAUACACAUGUUGCGGAUGAUGUGCCAUUGAAUAACUGGAAGGAUAAAGUAGCUACAAAUGCAUUUAUUUGCAAGCUUCUUUCAUCAUCGCCUGUUGCAAUGCCUCUACAAG